rnacentral:lncRNA from 1 species
AGCGGUCGCUAGAGCUUGGACUUCAUACUUCACAAGUCUUUUGAACCGUUCUCCCAACUCAUUACGCAUACAUACAAGUCUCGAUGAUGGAUAUAACCGUUUGGAUCCGAUUGCUGUUGGAGUUCUCGCAAUUGCAUCAACAAUUGCAAUGGCCAGUGCAAGGAGAGCUUCCUCCAUAAAUAUAUAUAUAUAUAUAUUUCUUCUGCUAGAACAUACAUGCAAACUGAUCCAACCAGUAUGAAUUAUAGAAUCUUGCAGCCACAAAAAUCAUGAAAUGGUGAUGAAGAGUGAUUAAGAAAUCAUAUGAAAAAAUGCACCAUAAAUGGAAAACCAAAAUUCAUUUUUAAUUACCGUGAAAGAAGGAGAAGUUUGAAUGUUUUCC